rnacentral:misc_RNA from 1 species
GAUGAAAGAACGUAGCGAAAUGCGAUACGUAAUGUGAAUUGCAGAAUUCAGUGAAUCAUCGAAUCUUUGAACGCACAUUGCGCCCGCUGGUAUUCCGGCGGCAUGCCUGUUCGAGCGUCAUUUCAACCCUCAAGCCCCCGGGUUUGGUGUUGGGGAUCGGCUCUGCCCUUCUGGGCGGUGCCGCCCCCGAAAUACAUUGGCGGUCUCGCUGCAGCCUCCAUUGCGUAGUAGCUAACACCUCGCAACUGGAACGCGGCGCGGCCAUGCCGUAAAACCCCAACUUCUGAAUGUUGACCUCGGAUCAGGUAGGAAUACCCGCUGAACUUAAGCAUAUCAAUAAGCGGAGGA